rnacentral:lncRNA from 1 species
AAAGUAAAAGCAAGCAAGUCUUUUGGAGAAAUAGAAAAGGUCUUAAAACCUCAAGCCCAUCAUUCUCACCCUCCAGCUGCUCAUUCUUCUUAAGCAGACUAACACAGACGCGCUGCAACUCAUCCACUCCCUUCUUAGCAUAAGCAGCGAAACGAAGCUCAUAAAUUGCAAGCUUAAGAUCUUGAAUCUGAGGCGAAUCAAUCUCAGCAGCAAAGGAAGCAGGCUUUGGCGCCACUUUAGCAGCAGAGUCCACCUUACCACUCUUCAUAAUAGCAAGUCUCUACAAAGGUGAACCAGACUUGGCUCCCAAAGAACGUCCUGAUACAGACUUCGGCACUGGAGGCAUGAUAAAACCUUUACGCUGAGCAAUCUUAUCCACAAUUGUACUAGCCAUUCUCAACAUGGAAGACGCCACAUGCUCAGAUCUAGCAGCCUUAUUUUUCUUCCCAUUAGAAGAAGUCAUGUCAAUCACAUACCUCUCGGUAGCAAGCGGACCCUCAUGAGCAGCAGAAGAAGUCUUCAGUUUUUUCUUAACUAGGCAUCUCAUGAGCAGGCGGGGAAGAUCUCUUCUUUACAUCUUCAUUCAUAGUAAGCUCCACGACAGCGAUCAGACGAGCCAAUGCAUCCGCCUUGAUCCUCUUUACCUCAUAUUUCUGGAGUAGCCCACCUUUCUUUCAGCAAAGAAGACUAAGCAGCCAACGACAUUCAUGGUACUGAGUAGGGGAGCUCAACCCAGCAUUCCAGCAGGCAGAAGGCCUGCAUGCCCAACAUUCCAGCAGCCCAUGAGACCCGCAAUCUCCUUAUUUCUCUCAAUCGCCAACCUGGCCCGAGUCAGGUCCAAGGGCCCAAAGGACAUGAGCCAUGCGGCUCGCCUAACACUGUGCCCUAGCGCCACAAUCAUCGACCCCAGCUGCACAAGCUGCC